rnacentral:rRNA from 1 species
UACGUAGGGGGCAAGCGUUGUCCGGAUUUAUUAGGCGUAAAGAGCGUGUAGGCGGCCUUACAGGUCAGCUGUGAAAACUCCGGGCUUAACUCGGAACGGUCAGCUGAUACUGCUUUGCUAGAGUGCAGAAGGGGCAAUCGGAAUUCUUGGUGUAGCGGUGAAAUGCGUAGAUAUCAAGAGGAACACCUGAGGUGAAGACGGGUUGCUGGGCUGACACUGACGCUGAGGCGCGAAAGCUAGGGUAGCAAACGGG